rnacentral:rRNA from 1 species
UGGGGAAUCUUGGACAAUGGGGGCAACCCUGAUCCAGCCAUGCCGCGUGAGUGAUGAAGGCCUUAGGGUCGUAAAGCUCUUUCGCCUGUGAAGAUAAUGACGGUAGCAGGUAAAGAAACCCCGGCUAACUCCGUGCCAGCAGCCGCGGUAAUACGGAGGGGGUUAGCGUUGUUCGGAAUUACUGGGCGUAAAGCGCACGUAGGCGGACCAGAAAGUUGGGGGUGAAAUCCCGGGGGCUCAACCUUGGAACUGCCUUUAAAACUGCUAGUCUAGAGACCGGAAGAGGUUAGGGGAAUACCUAGUGUAGAGGUGAAAUUCGUAGAUAUUAGGUGGAACACCAGUGGCGAAGGCGCCUAACUGGUCCGGUACUGACGCUGAGGAACGAAAGCGUGGGGAGCAAACAGGAUUAGAUA